rnacentral:rRNA from 1 species
UACGAAGGGGGCUAGCGUUGCUCGGAAUUACUGGGCGUAAAGGGCGCGUAGGCGGAUGCUUAAGUUGGGGGUGAAAGCCCAGGGCUCAACCCUGGAAUUGCCUUCAAUACUGGGCAUCUUGAGUACGGGAGAGGUGUGUGGAACUCCGAGUGUAGAGGUGAAAUUCGUAGAUAUUCGGAAGAACACCAGUGGCGAAGGCGACACACUGGCCCGUUACUGACGCUGAGGCGCGAAAGCGUGGGGAGCAAACAGG